UACGUAGGGGGCAAGCGUUGUCCGGAAUUAUUGGGCGUAAAGCGCGCGUAGGCGGCUUUGUAAGUUAGAGGUGAAAGCCCGGAGCUCAACUCCGGAACUGCCUUUAAGACUGCAUCGCUAGAAUUGUGGAGAGGUGAGUGGAAUUCCGAGUGUAGAGGUGAAAUUCGUAGAUAUUCGGAAGAACACCAGUGGCGAAGGCGACUCACUGGACACAUAUUGACGCUGAGGUGCGAAAGCGUGGGGAGCAAACAGG
rnacentral:rRNA from 1 species